rnacentral:rRNA from 1 species
GUCGAACGGUAGCAGGAAGCAGCUUGCUGCUUCGCUGACGAGUGGCGGACGGGUGAGUAAUGUCUGGGAAACUGCCUGAUGGAGGGGGAUAACUACUGGAAACGGUAGUUAAUACCGCAUAACGUCGCAAGACCAAAGAGGGGGACCUUCGGGCCUCUUGCCAUCGGAUGUGCCCAGAUGGGAUUAGCUAGUAGGUGGGGUAACGGCUCACCUAGGCGACGAUCCCUAGCUGGUCUGAGAGGAUGACCAGCCACACUGGAACUGAGACACGGUCCAGACUCCUACGGGAGGCAGCAGUGGGGAAUAUUGCACAAUGGGCGCAAGCCUGAUGCAGCCAUGCCGCGUGUAUGAAGAAGGCCUUCGGGUUGUAAAGUACUUUCAGCGGGGAGGAAGGUGUUGAGGUUAAUAACCUCAGCAAUUGACGUUACCCGCAGGAGAAGCACCGGCUAACUCCGUGCCAGCAGCCGCGGUAAUACGGAGGGUGCAAGCGUUAAUCGGAAUUACUGGGCGUAAAGCGCACGCAGGCGGUCUGUCAAGUCGGAUGUGAAAUCCCCGGGCACAACCUGGGAACUGCAUUCGAAACUGGCAGGCUAGAGUCUUGUAGAGGGGGGUAGAAUUCCAGGUGUAGCGGUGAAAUGCGUAGAGAUCUGGA